rnacentral:lncRNA from 1 species
CAGGCAUUGUGAUGUAGCAUUAGGCUACUAUUGAUCUUCUGAUCAUAUGUCAGAAGGAGGAUCAUCUGCUGUGGGUGUUCCUGAUCUUUGAGCCAUGAUAAUGUUACUGGUUGGAUGUCAGGAGCAGGCCAUGUGGAUGAUUAAAAGAUGAAUAUCAUAUACAGCAUGGAUAUGUUGGACAAAAAGAUGAUUCACAUCCCAGACAGAAUGGAGCAGCACAUUUAUUAAAAGCCAGAAGCUAGAAGACGAGGAAAGAAGAGGUGGUUAAAGAAAGAUACAGUAACAGCAGUAAUAUCUAACAGGAAGGCUACAGGGGAAAAUACAGAAAUUCCAUAAAGAACAAACACUGUAACUCAAAACCAAAGCUUUGCUAGUCACUAGUGCCCGCUACAUCCUAACAGAGUUGUUAUGUAAAACCUCCCAGCGAAAGAAAUAGUCCAGAAAGCUUGAAGAGAAACUGAAAUUUGAAAAAUCUACCUAAAAAGUUGUUCUUCCAGAUGGCAUGAAUCCAACAGUGAAGAAAUCAGAAUACGUUGCUUUUGUGAGGGGCAGCUGCUGAUUUUCUCUGAGCUCCGUUUCCAGCCUUCACAUGCUCUGCUAUUCAUCACAGGGUAAAUUCUGACUAUAGGAGGUACUGACAGAAGAUUAGGGAAGAACAGAGGGCUAAAUGUUUAUUGACUUCUUGAAAAAUGCUAUGUGUCUUGCCAGACUUAGCUUACAAGUUUGGUUAAAGAGAGACUGACAUGAGCAUAAAGGAAGGGACAUUGAAAGAGGCAGAGAUGAAGGAAGAAAUUGUAACUUACUCCUUUUAUCCCACCCAUCAAAGGAAAGACAAGUUGACAAGUAUUGAUUCUGCAACAAACUGAGAAGAAACCUGGCGAUUCACAACAGAGAGCUGAGAAAUCCUAAGUCUGGAUUCCAGCUAAAUGGGAGCAGACUAAAUAGAGCGGCAGUCGGCGAACUACAUGUAGCCCAUGAACAAAAUCCGGUCCAGCACGUGUGUUUUUUUUUACGGCCCACAAAUGAGUCUGUCUUUACAGAUGAAUGUUAAAACUGGGUUGACAAGAGAGAACACUCACUUUGAACCGCAACUAAACAAAAUAUUAUCACCUUUCCCCUCAAAAAAGGUUUUUGUUCUUCUCAUUAGUAAAUUUGUAUUAUGACAAAAUCAUAGUCAAUUUUUAUCAUAUUCUAAAUUUUGACAAUACAAAUUGUGGGAUUUUUUUCCCUGGUUAUAUAUGUACAUACAUAAUGCCCUGAAUUGUUCCUUAUGAUCACGAAGCCCUAAAUAUUUACUGUCU